rnacentral:rRNA from 1 species
AACGAACGCUGGCGGCAUGCCUAACACAUGCAAGUCGAACGAGACCUCCGGGUCUAGUGGCGCACGGGUGCGUAACGCGUGGGAACCUGCCCUUAGGUUCGGAAUAACUCCCCGACAGGGGUGCUAAUACCGGAUAAUGUCCUCGGACCAAAGAUUUAUCGCCUUUGGAUGGGCCCGCGUUGGAUUAGCUAGUUGGUAGGGUAAAAGCCUACCAAGGCGACGAUCCAUAGCUGGUCUGAGAGGAUGAUCAGCCACACUGGGGCUGAGACACGGCCCAGAAUCCUACGGGAGGCAGCAGUGGGGAAUAUUGGACAAUGGGCGAAAGCCUGAACCAGCAAUGCCGCGUGAGUGAUGAAGGCCUUAGGGUUGUAAAGCUCUUUUACCCGGGAUGAUAAUGACAGUACCGGGAGAAUAAGCUCCGGCUAACUCCGUG